AGGCUGGCCAUCCCACUGCUGCCCGUGAGAACCGGGCCCCCGCUGCGCCCAUCAGCCAAGAGAGGAAGACGCCCAGCGCUCAGGGGCCCGUCCCGCCCCUCAGCUCCGGGUGGAAGCGCGUUUCUGCAGAGGGUGCGGGAGCAGCUCUAGCUCUGCGGCCCGGCGCCCGCGGUUAAAUCCCGGUUGCGAGUGGGGGGUUCGUGGAUUGUCUCCUUGGUCCACGUGCAGGGACAAGUCAUUUUUCCACGCAGACCUGGAAAGUAUUUCGUUUACUCGCACUGACUACAGAGAGUUCUCCCCUCCCUCUAAACUGGAGAUUUAUGAAACUUAUGCCGUGGCAGCUUCUUAAAAUGUUUUAACAUUAGAUGCAGACUCUUGGAAAGAGGGUGUAUUUAUGAAAAAAUAAAACCUCGUGAAAUGAUCGUUCUCUCAGGAAGCCAGCGAGCGACGCAUGUGCACUGGGGCAGUUAUUGCAGACGGUCUGUUUAUUGCCAGACAGUGCACCCCGCUUCUGGAACCCUCCCCACGGGAACAGCUUCCUGCUCGGCUGUCCCCUGCACCGUGCCCUGCCAAGUCCACCGCACAGAUCACGGGGUUCUCUCUGCAGAGAGGUGCAGGGUUGGGGGUGCUUUCUUCAAACUGCAGACCGAGGAGGCUUCUGUUUGGACGCUCGUCCGAGCCCAGAGCUCUUCUGGCUCAGAUGUGCCAUUUUGACCAUGACCUUCAAACUGGCCAGCCGUGGGCUCAGGCCAGCCUGAGCCGUCACUGGGGGAGCUCAGGCAGGUGACUUAGCGCCAACCCAUCUUUAGGGCGGGGUUGCCCUUGUCGUCUCACAACCGCUGUGAGCUAUGAGGCUCUCAGUGCAGAGGCCCGGCGCUCAAUAGACACGAGUUAUUAUUAUUAUUGGAAUUAUCUCUGUUACCGCUAUUAUUAACUCCAAGCCAUCGUCAUGAUCUGCUGUGCGCUUGGCAAGCGGACUCCUCCAAUGAGGGGAAACUACAGAAAAAGGCAAAGCCAGUUUCCCUUUCUCCAAGCAGCGUAUCUCGGUUCAGUCCUUUUUGAAACGUCAUCACCACCUUAAUUACCUUAAAAACAUAAUCAUUUUUAUCAAAGACCUCCGUGUGGGGAAGAGAUUUGUUUUUUCUGGAGGAGCCUGGGGAGGCGGGGCCUGAAGGCCUGGGGGCGGGGCCUUGGGGAAGCGGCUGCACCAGCUUCCCUGCAGCCCUGCUGGGGUUUCUGGCCUUGUGUCCAGUGCCCUAAACUGUCCCAGUUCCGGGGCGCACAUCAACCACAGAAGAGUGGAUAAGAAAUCGGACAGCUGGCACCCUGACACGCCAUGGCCGGAAGUGAAACGGUCCUGACGACGCAGGACGCACCCAGGAGAGCAGGAGCCAGCAGUUCCCGCCCUCCUGGCUGCCUCCAGGGCUCUCUGUGCCCCCUUCCUGGAGGUCACCUUUCCCUGCAUCUCUGCGGGCUCCUAGCUCCUCAGAGACGCUUUCUCCGGUCAUCUGAUCCUCGAUGCGUACCAGGGACUCAAAGAAACCAGGAUGUCUGCCAAAACUUAAAGGACACCAGGAGGGUCCCCAAAGCGACAGACUUCUCUGCAUCUGGAGGAAAUGGCUAUAUUUGAAAAUAACACCGACUUUUUCAAAGGGUAACCGUAUAGCAAGAGCAAACUCUGUGUGAGCCUCCCUCUUCAGAUGGCUGGUCUUUCACAAUGAGAAGAGCUUGGGUGCCACAAAAUGAAGGAGGAACCAAGGCUGCCUGCAAACCUCAGGCAGCACAAAAGCCUGAUUGCUGCCACCCAGUCGAUUUAGAUUUACUGCAUUUUAAAAUUCAAAUCCAGAAGUUCCCUUGUGGUGCAGCAGGUUAAACAUCCCAGGACACUGCAGGGGCACGGGUUCAAUCCCUAGCCCAAGAACUUCCACAUGCCAUGGGUGUGGCCAGAAAAAAAAAAAAAAAAAGAUUCAAGUCCACAAAGAUGUCCGUCAUUGCUGAUUAUUAGGGAAAUGCCAAUCAAAACUACCAUGAGGCACCAUAUAACUGUUCAUCAUUCGUAAUCACCCUUUUGGUUUUUGUUUAGCUGGUUUCUUUUUUCAUUAUUUGAGAAUAAUUUCAAUAGUGGCUUCAUCAUGACAUUGUAUAUAAACCUGUCUAAUGUGUAUAUUAUGUCAUAUCUCGGUAUUUAUAGCAGAAACAUAUACUUAGUCAUAAAUAUAUACUCAGGAAAUUCCAGAGAAUAUAAAAAUUUUCAAACAUUUGUAAACAUGUGCUCUCAUUAAAAGUUUUCUCGGAGUUCCCAUCAUGGCUCAGUGGUUAACGAACCCAACUAGCAUCCAUGAGGACGCAGGUUCUAUCCCUGGCCUCCCUCAGUGGGUUAAGGAUGCGGCGCUGCCUUCAGCUAUGGUGUAGGCCAGCAGCUACAGCUCUUAUUGGACCCCUAGCCUGGGAACCUGUGUAUGCUUCGAGCGUGGCCCUAAAAAGACAAAAAGACCAAAAAAAAAAAAAGUUUUCUCUGGUAUUUUAGGUGAAUAAUAUUUAUGCCACCAGAAAGCAAACGAACAAACAGAAAGACUUUAAAAAUUUACAACUAAUUCUAAUACAAAGAGGAGUCUGUUUUUGCUUGGUAAAUAUUUAUAUGCUCUAGAAGUAUUGCUUUGAGCUUUCAAAGUCUAAGGAAAGAGUAUUUUCGAAGAGAAGGCAAAUGUAGAACUAGGUAAAAAGAAUGACUUGGGAAAUUAUGUGGCUUCUGCAAGUUUUCCUGCACAUUUUUUCCUAUUAACUAGAUUUCUCCAUAAAGGCUUUUUUUUUUUUCCCGCUCUUUAUAGAAGAAAUACUUGUCUUGACACGCACGAUAUAUGACAGAUAUUUUCAGAUAUCAAUAAAUGAGCUCUAAGUAGCCAAA